rnacentral:lncRNA from 1 species
AAUCAAAGAUUACAUAAGGAAGUAUCAAAAACAUAUUCUACUUGUUAUUACAAGCAUUCACAUUCACUAGGUACAUUUUAUAUCACAAUUACAUAUUACAUUUAACUUCCAAUUAUAUAUUACAUUUAACUUCCAAAUACAAUUAUGCUUUUAUUACAAAUUAUUGCAACAUUAUUCCUUUCAUUUUCUUACAUCCCUA